rnacentral:rRNA from 1 species
CGCGGCCUAUCAGCUUGUUGGUGAGGUAACGGCUCACCAAGGCAUCGACGGGUAGCUGGUCUGAGAGGACGAUCAGCCACACUGGGACUGAGACACGGCCCAGACUCCUACGGGAGGCAGCAGUAGGGAAUCUUGCGCAAUGGGCGAAAGCCUGACGCAGCAACGCCGCGUGGGGGAUGAAUGCCUUCGGGUUGUAAACCCCUUUCAGCAGGGACGAAAAUGACGGUACCUGCAGAAGAAGCUCCAGCCAACUACGUGCCAGCAGCCGCGGUAAUACGUAGGGAGCGAGCGUUGUCCGGAAUUAUUGGGCGUAAAGAGCUCGUAGGCGGUUCAGUAAGUCGGGUGUGAAAACUCAAGGCUCAACCUUGAGACGCCACUCGAUACUGCUGUGACUUGAGUCCGGUAGAGGAGUGUGGAAUUCCUGGUGUAGCGGUGAAAUGCGCAGAUAUCAGGAGGAACACCAGCGGCGAAGGCGGCACUCUGGGCCGGUACUGACGCUGAGGAGCGAAAGCAUGGGGAGCAAACAGGAUUAGAUACCCUGGUAGUCCAUGCCGUAAACGUUGGGCACUAAGCGUCCGACGGGUUCGACCCUGUUGGGUGCUGCAGUUAACGCGUUAAGUGCCCCGCCUGGGGAGUACGG